rnacentral:pre_miRNA from 1 species
AUCAUUAUGUACUGAUGGCAGUGUUAAUGGGCAACACUGCCAUCAGUACAUAAUGAUG